GCGGGCGUGGCGGAACUGGUAGACGCGCAGGAUUUAGGUUCCUGUGACCUCGUGUCGUGGGGGUUCAAGUCCCUCCGCCCGCA
rnacentral:tRNA from 2 species